rnacentral:rRNA from 1 species
CCUACGGGUGGCUGCAGUGGGGAAUUUUGCACAAUGGGCGCAAGCCUGAUGCAGCAACGCCGCGUGUGUGAUGAAGGUCUUCGGAUCGUAAAGCACUUUCGACCGGGACGAACAAGCCUGGCCACACCAGGCCCUGACGGUACCGGGAGAAGAAGCACCGGCUAACUCUGUGCCAGCAGCCGCGGUAAUACAGAGGGUGCAAGCGUUGUUCGGAAUUAUUGGGCGUAAAGCGCGUGUAGGCGGCUUAGCAAGUCGGGCGUGAAAGCCCUCGGCUC